rnacentral:rRNA from 1 species
CCUACGGGAGGCAGCAGUGGGGAAUAUUGGACAAUGGGCGAAAGCCUGAUCCAGCAAUGCCGCGUGAGUGAUGAAGGCCUUAGGGUCGUAAAGCUCUUUUACCAGGGAUGAUAAUGACAGUACCUGGAGAAUAAGCUCCGGCUAACUCCGUGCCAGCAGCCGCGGUAAUACGGAGGGAGCUAGCGUUGUUCGGAAUUACUGGGCGUAAAGCGUGCGUAGGCGGUUAUUCAAGUCAGAGGUGAAAGCCCGGGGCUCAACCCCGGAACGGCCUUUGAAACUAGAUAACUAGAAUCUUGGAGAGGUCAGUGGAAUUCCGAGUGUAGAGGUGAAAUUCGUAGAUAUUCGGAAGAACACCAGUGGCGAAGGCGACUGACUGGACAAGUAUUGACGCUGAGGUACGAAAGCGUGGGGAGCAAACAGGAUUAGAUACCCUGGUAGUCCACGCCGUAAACGAUGAUAACUAGCUGUCCGGACACUUGGUGUUUGGGUGGCGCAGCUAACGCAUUAAGUUAUCCGCCUGGGGAGUACGGUCGCAGAUUAAAACUCAAAUGAAUUGAACGGCUGNGAGUGCGAGCGACGACGAGGAGAGG